rnacentral:tRNA from 1 species
GGAUUGUGGCUCAGUGGUAGAGCACUUGCCUAGCAUGUGUGAGGCCCUGGGUUCAACCCCAGCACCA